GACGAACGCUGGCGGCGUGCUUAACACAUGCAAGUGGAGCGACGAACCAGGCUUCGGCCUGGGGCAAAGCCGCGAACGGGUGAGUAACACGUGGGUAACCUGCCCUGAUGACCGGGACAACCCGAGGAAACUCGGGCUAAUACCGGAUGUGCUCCCGCCACACCAGUGGUGUGAGUAAAGGUAGCUUCGGCCUCCGCAUCGGGAUGGGCCCGCGGCGCAUUAGCUUGUUGGUGGGGUAAAGGCCUACCAAGGCUACGAUGCGUAGCUGGUCUGAGAGGACGAUCAGCCACACUGGGACUGAGACACGGCCCAGACUCCUACGGGAGGCAGCAGUGGGGAAUCUUGCGCAAUGCGCGAAAGCGUGACGCAGCAACGCCGCGUGAGUGAAGAAGGCCU
rnacentral:rRNA from 1 species